rnacentral:rRNA from 1 species
GGGUGCAAGCGUUACUCGGAAUUACUGGGCGUAAAGCGUGCGUAGGUGGUCGUUUAAGUCCGUUGUGAAGCCCUGGGCUCAAACCUGGGAACUGCAGUGGAUACUGGGCGACUAGAGUGUGGUAGAGGGUAGCGGAAUUCCUGGUGUAGCAGUGAAAUGCGUAGAGAUCAGGAGGAACAUCCAUGGCGAAGGCAGCUACCUGGACCAACACUGACACUGAGGCACGAAAGCGUGGGGAGCAAACAGGA